AUUUGGUGAUGUGGACAGCUUGCACAAAGUUUUUUUAAAGCGCUCCCAGUAUUCGUAUAAAGAUUCUCCAGUAUGCUGCCGAAUGCCACAAAUUUCUUUCCUUAUGCU